rnacentral:sRNA from 2 species
GCACCCAGCGAAGCGCGUGCCACAGCAGUGCUUUUUCUGGGUCGGAUGCAAGGGUGUCCAUGGAGAGCGGCAGGCUGACAUCCACGCUGUCCCUAGAUGAAGGUGCAUGGAACCGUGCUGUCCAAAGACGGCAGGUAAUACGAGAGAUAUUGGAGACAGAGAUCACCUAUCUUGCGGGGCUAAAGGCGCUGGUAGAAGUUCUGACCACCCUAGGAAUCACCGAAACAGCACUGCAGCGGAGCACGCUCGAUCUGAUCAGCUUACACGAGGAUCUUAUGGCUAAGUUGGAGGGCACGAUGCCUAGGUCAGACAGGGUCAUAACCCCGAUAUGGAUGACUGCGCGACGGCAUAUUAAGUUUGGCAACAUGGAUGCUGGCCUGACGAGAGCAAAUCGAAAGUCAGUGACGACGAGAAAGCUUCGUGAACCUAUCGAUUCCCGGAUUAAAUCCUCCAAAUCUGUGGCAGCAGAACCAAAUGAGGCUGCUGCGGUCGCUAAGAUAAUGCAAUCAAUGCUUCCGAAAUUUAAAGUUUACGAGGACUACGGCGUCAAAUACCAACUCGUAACCAAGG